rnacentral:rRNA from 1 species
GACGAACGCUGGCGGCGUGCUUAACACAUGCAAGUCGAACGGAAACACCCUGCUUGUGUCGGGUGCUCGAGUGGCGAACGGGUGAGUAACACGUGAGUAACCUGCCCUGGACUUUGGGUUCACUUCAGGAAACUUGGGCUAAUACCGGAUAGGAGCUCCUGCUGCAUGGUGGGGGUGGGAACGUUUGGGCGGUUGGGGCUGGACUCGCGGCUAAUGAGCGUGGUGGUGGGGUAGUGGCUUCCAACGGCUUUGACGGGUAGCCGGCCUGAGAGGGUGACCGGCCCCAAUGGGCCUGCGGGACGGCGCAGACUGCAACGUGGGGCAACAGGGGGGAGUAUGGCACAAUGGGCGGAAGUGUAAGACAGCAGCGCCGCGUGUGGGAUCACGGCCUUCAGGUUGUAAAACGCUUUCGGCUGAGACGAAGCGUGAGUGACGGUAAUGUAUAAAGAAGCACCGGCUAACUACGUG